UAUCACAAGUAAAUAAUGGUUUAGUAUCUUUUAUCAGCCUCUUCAACGUCUACUAUGAAAUGAAACUAACCACGCUGAUAAUUUAGUAACUUGCUUUGAGAAUGGUGCGAUCUUCAGUGUAACCCAGUAGACCAAGCCUAGAUCAACAGGCAUCUCUUGAUCGAGCAUGGUGGAUGAAGUUAACUGUAUCUUCAAUUUUAGAGCGAAAUAUACUACCUGGUGUUUCCUUAAAGCAGAAUAUGCAAAGAUUAUGUUGCUGUCAGUGGCGACUGCUAUCUAAUGGCUUAACCUGGGAUUUCUUUUUCACGAUAGCUAUGAUAGUAGUGCUAGAUUCCAACAAAACUCAAACGUGAUAUCUAAAUGGAAUUCUAAUGAAUCAUUGGGAAGAAAAAUAAGCAUGAGGCUAGGCACGCUUGGGCCUCAGUGAUCCAAUAGACCAAUACCCCCCACAGGGCCAAAGGCAUCCACCCGUAUCGCCCCUCCCCGUCCUCCUCCGACCUCGAUGGACCGGAGCCGCCAAGGCCACCACCCUUCUCCCUUCAAUACGGCCAUGCCGCCCUCGAAAGGAUCGACUGCGGCCCACGCGCGCCACCACGCUCCUCGGCCCUCGCUAUUCAUUCCGUUGCAGGGGAUCAGCUAUCAGUGGACCCGUUGGCAAAGGAGUGUGUUGACCUUUGGCCUAGGAUACAACGCAAAUGCCAUUGUUUGAGAGCUGAUUAGCCUGUGCUGCUAGUACCUUGUGGACUAUUGUUUUGAAGAAGAAAAACCGAGCUGAAGUUGUAAUAAUUUAGACUUCUGUUGAAUUGUUGUCUGAGAUUUUAUGAUAAGUGAUUAAUUACCUGGCUACCAAACAACACAUUUGAGAAAA